UCGCUAUAUAUACACUUGCAGGAAUCUCUUUAGUGUUAUACAAAACAAAGCGAAAUUUUUUUUUUAGAUUCCUAGAGAAAAUGUCGGCACUUGCAGAUUUGAUCAAUCUCGAUCUCUCCGAUUCCACUGAGAAGAUCAUUGGGAGUACAUAUGGAUUGGUGGAUCAGGCUUGGAUAUGAGAAGCAAAGCAAGGACUUUGCCGGGACCAGUGAAGGAUCCAUCGGAGUUACCGAAAUGGGAACUAUGACGGUUCAAGCACCGGCCAAGCUCCCGGCAGUGACAGUGAAGUCAUCCUCUA